GGAAAAUUGAAUCCUUAGCAUUCAUUUCGCUCAACAACACAUCUUUGCUUCGAGAGGUCAACAAAAUUUUGCAACUUUUGGAAUCACUAGAGGACUUCCUUUCUUUCAAUGAGUUGCUAUCAUCAUCAUCCUUAAACUGAAUACCCAACAUAUUCAAGUCCAAUCCAGCCCAAAGAUCGUCAAAAAUGAGGAGGGCAUUCUCCUUCUCUUUCUUCGACCUUUGUUGCAAACGACCUGCUCUUCCAAUCUCACUUUCAUCAUCUAAUCUCAACCCCAACAUGUCUGCCAUUUCUCCUUGAAUCUUUCUUACAUCAGGAGUGAUUGUUAUAUUUACCAUAAUCACAAGAUUGAAUAGCUUUUUUGCUUUAGCUUUCCUUGCAAUUGCUUUAACUAAUGUGGUUUUGCCAACACCUCCCUGCUCAUAGAUACCAAUCAUUUUAGAUUUGGGAUCUCUCAGGGAAUUCAUAACCUCCUCCGUAAUAGCUUUUCUUGAGCUAAAUGAUUCAUACCCAUCGUCAGAAAGAGCAACAUCUAUUGCUUCUGGCUCCGAACGAUGAGAAAUUGUAGUGAAGUUCUUAUGUUGAAGCAGCUCAACGCACUGUGGAAUCAUCUUCUUCGCUUUUCUACCAAGCUGAUGCCUUAACUUCAAGUUGGGAAAACCAGUAGAGCACCCGGUCUUCAGAUGGCCUUCAUCUUCCAGAAACACAUCAAUUUCAGUGAUUUUCUCAUCCACCUUCGUCAGCCAGCUGCUUUUCAACAUUGCUUCUGUAGCUGCAAAGGUAAGCCACAUGACGUCGAACACGUGGCACCAAGACAUCCAAUGCUUUCCCAAAUAAGGCCGCAAGAAACUGCAUUUUGUUUUUUUUUUUUUUUUAUAGUUUUUUUUGGGAUUUUUCUUCUGGUAUAUACUAUAACAACUUUUUCUGAGGUAGGAAAAGUAAACAGAAAACAAGAUGAGCCACAACGUACAGCUCCUCAACAAAGAUGAACAAACAAGCGAACAAAGAAAGAAAAGGAAAUGAAAUUCCAGCGGUUGCCAAAGGUGUGAUUGAGUGAAGUCACUGAGCAAGUACGUAGAGCUCAGAAGAGAAAUGGAAGGAGGUGAUCAAACCGACGAAGCCAGUGAUUAAAGCAAGCAAUACGAAGUCGUGAGGACCGUAAGGUGCGUGAAAGCAUGAAUAUCGAUCAGGUUGGGUCAUUGCAAAUAGAUGGAUAGAUAUAUGUAUAAGUGUUUGUAUGUAUGUAUGUUACAUGGAACGAAUAUUUUUAA